rnacentral:lncRNA from 1 species
GUCUCCAAACUUUGAGGGGGUUAAGAGAUGAUUCUGUUCAUAUCGUCUCUGCUCUUGUUAACAAAUCAAUUUCAGAGACAAAACUUCCCGUUUCCUUCUUUACUUCACUCACCUCUCAAUUGGGAAUUCAAGAAGCUCAAUACACCCAGUCUACCACAGGUAAUAAGUUUUUACGUAACAUAUAUAUAUUCAAUUUUGUGUCGCAUUUAAAAUUUACUUUUCAAAAGAUUUUUAAAAAAUUAACUCACGAUUUUUCAGACAGUCGAUAACAAGAUAAAUUAACGAACAAUGUUUCCCUACCCUAACUAUAUCAUCAGGGUAAAAGACAAGUUUUGUUGUGUAUGUCUGUCUUUGUAAAUCUUUUUGGCUCUCAACAAUUCGGCCCACUUUACUGUGCAUGUAGAUUAUUGUGAAAACCUGAUGAAGAUGUCUCUAAAGCUGCUAGACAAGUCACUGUUGGCACUCAAACAAUCUCCAGAAAAGAACAAGAAUGACAUCCAAACGUGGCUAAGUGCUGCCUUAACUUACCAACAGGCCUGCAAAGAUUCUGUCGAUAGCUUGGGUCUACCCACCGGCGGCCUUACCUCUCAAAUUUCUCGCAAAAUGGAUUAUCUCUCUGAAUUGGUUAGCAACCCUUUAGCCCUUGUCAACAGAAUUACAGGUGAUCAUGAUAAUAAGCUUAAGAAGAACAGCACCAGAAGUCGAUAUCUAGGCGAGGAAAUACAAGAUUUUCCUAAGUGGGU